CUCUGACUCGGAGCGGCGGCGGCUCCGCUACACUUGACGACGACUUCUCCGUCGCGGCUGUUGUUGUUGUUAGCUCUCGCCGACGCCGGAGAUUCGGAGACGGGAGUCAAGCCUUUGGACUGGUUCUGAAGCUCGUCCAUGCUCAGGUCAUUGUUAGCCCUCGCCGCCGCCGGAGAUUCGGAGACGGAAGUCAAGCCUUUGGACUGGUUCUGAAGCUCGUCCAUGCUCAGGUCCAUGUCGAGGGAAAUCUCGCCGGAGGCUUGCUGUUUGUGGAGGAACUGACCGAUGAGCUUCAUCGGAGGAUCAUCGCCGCCGCGUCGGAACUCGAACGGCUCGCUGUCUUUGCCUUCCUCGGAGGCCGCGGCGGAGGAUCUCUCGCCUUCGGGGGGGUUGACGCCUUUGUGGAGGUUGCCGUCGUGGCCGUCGGUCCAGAAAUCGUAGCUUCCGCCUCUCCAUAUUAGCCUUCGGGGGGGUUGACGCCUUUGUGGAGGUUGCCGUCGUGGCCGUCGGUCCAGAAAUCGUAGCUUCCGUCUCUCCAUAUCUUGCCGGGAGUCUCGCCGGAUGCUCCAUUGGUGGUGGUUGCGUUCUCGGGAUGAUCGUUGAUUUUGAGGAUGACUUCUCGCCGGUCAGUCGAAUCA
rnacentral:lncRNA from 1 species